rnacentral:rRNA from 1 species
UACGGAGGGGCUAGCGUUGUUCGGAAUUACUGGGCGUAAAGCGCGCGUAGGCGGACCUGCAAGUCGGGGGUGAAAGCCCGAGGCUCAACCUCGGAACUGCCUUCGAUACUGCGGGUCUCGAGUCCGGGAGAGGUGAGUGGAAUUCCUAGUGUAGAGGUGAAAUUCGUAGAUAUUCGCAAGAACACCAGUGGCGAAGGCGGCUCACUGGCCCGGAACUGACGCUGAGGAGCGAAAGUGUGGGGAGCGAACAGG